rnacentral:rRNA from 1 species
AGCAGUCGCCGCGGUAACACCGAGGGUGCGAGCGUUAAUCGGAUUUACUGGGCGUAAAGCGUGCGUAGGCGGCUUCUUAAGUCGGAUGUGAAAUCCCUGAGCUUAACUUAGGAAUUGCAUUCGAUACUGGGAAGCUAGAGUAUGGGAGAGGAUGGUAGAAUUCCAGGUGUAGCGGUGAAAUGCGUAGAGAUCUGGAGGAAUACCGAUGGCGAAGGCAGCCAUCUGGCCUAAUACUGACGCUGAGGUACGAAAGCAUGGGGAGCAAACAGGAUUAGAUACCCCCGUAGUCCCUGUCUCUUAACA